rnacentral:tRNA from 1 species
UCCCUGGUGGCUCAGAGGUUAAAGCGUCUGCCUCCAAUGCAGGAGACCCGGGUUCUAUCCCUGGGUUGGGAU